UUAUUUGUAUUUGAUUUUCUGGGGUGAGAAUUUCUUUCUCUUUUUUUUUUUGGUUGAAAAUUUUCUAUCUUCUGUUUGAUUUUUAUUUUAAAAGAGACGGAAAAUCACUAUCAAAAGAUAACAAUAAAAUAGAAUCUUAUGCUUUCAUUUAUUUAUAGUAAAUAGGAAUCGGAAUCUCUUUCUUUUUUUUUUAGCCCGUUUUCGUGUAAGUUGCUAACGGGUGCCUGGUGUAUAGCGUGC
rnacentral:misc_RNA from 1 species